rnacentral:rRNA from 1 species
UGACCUCGGAUCAGGUAGGGAUACCCGCUGAACUUAAGCAUAUCAAUAAGCGGAGGAAAAGAAACCAACAGGGAUUGCCCUAGUAACGGCGAGUGAAGCGGCAAGAGCUCAAAUUUGAAAGCUGGCUCCUUCGGGGUCCGCAUUGUAAUUUGCAGAGGAUG